rnacentral:rRNA from 1 species
GACGAACGCUGGCGGCGUGCUUAACACAUGCAAGUCGAACGGAAAGGCCCUGCUUUUGUGGGGUGCUCGAGUGGCGAACGGGUGAGUAAAACGUGAGUAACCUGCCCUUGACUUUGGGAUAACUUCAGGAAACUGGGGCUAAUACAGGAUAGGAGAUCCUGCUGCACGGGGGGGGUUGGAAAGUUUCGGCGGUUGGGGAUGGAAUAGCGGCUUAUCAGCUGGUUGGUGGGGUAGUGGCUUACCAAGUGUGUGACGGGUAGCCGGCCUGAGAGGGUGACCGGCCACAUUGGGACUGAGAUACGGCGCAGUCUCCUACGGGAGGCAGCAGUGGGGAAUAUUGCACAAUGGGCGGAAGCCUGAUGCAGCAACGCCGCGUGCGGGAUGACGGCCUUCGGGUUGAAAACCGCUUUCGCCUGUGACGAAGCGGGAGUGACGGUAAUGGGUAAAGAAGCACCGGCUAACUACGUG